GAGCCCGUGGCUCAAUGGUAGAGCGUUCGACUCAAAUACCAAAGGUCGCGGGUUAGGUCGCGGGUUCG
rnacentral:tRNA from 1 species